rnacentral:other from 1 species
CAUUGAACGGACGCAAUAGUAACUAGGAUGGUUACUACUAAGGAAGGCAAUGGAUACCUCUGGAUGAGGCAUGGAACGAUCAUCAGGAUGAUGAAAGGGACACCGCUCAGGGAACAAGCGAAGUGAGCUAACUUGGAUUGUUAGCAGACCAGGAUAAGGUCAAUGGACACCGCUAGGAUGGCGAGAAAGGACUACGCUGAAGGAAUACAGCACACUAUCAUGGAUUAGAUGCAUGGAGCACUUUUAGUAGCUGGAUUGCUGCGAGUAAGACUAUAACCCCGAUGGGCCUUGGCCCUCGGGGUUUUUCUUUGU